rnacentral:rRNA from 1 species
UACGAAGGGGGCUAGCGUUGCUCGGAAUUACUGGGCGUAAAGCGCACGUAGGCGGCUCUUUAAGUCGGAGGUGAAAUCCUGGAGCUCAACUCCAGAACUGCCUUCGAUACUGAAGAGCUCGAGUCCGGGAGAGGUGAGUGGAACUGCGAGUGUAGAGGUGAAAUUCGUAGAUAUUCGCAAGAACACCAGUGGCGAAGGCGGCUCACUGGCCCGGUACUGACGCUGAGGCACGAAAGCGUGGGGAGCAAACAGG